ensembl:lncRNA LINC02613 long intergenic non-protein coding RNA 2613
ACACUCGGGGGGCUGUAGGCAGUUGAAAGAUGACUUUAUUCAGCAGCAGCUCUUAUCAACAGCUUUCUCUCACACUGUCCGCCCUGUCUCGGCUGCUUAGUCUGGCGGCUCCCACACACAGCUGCGUGGCCGGCUCUCCCUUGCCUUCAGGGUGAGCAGCUUAACUCUUUCUCUCUCUGGGAGUGAGUGAGCUGAGCUGUGUCCUGGCUCAGACGGACAGCUCUGACUCGCUCGCUCUUUCUCUGGGCGCCUGCGCGCCUACCAUGACAAGCCAUUUCAGGCGAGCCGAGCCCCAGAGCCAUGUGUCUGGUGCGCAGUGUUAACAGGGCAGUUAUACCUUUUACAGACAACUGUGGCUCCAAGUCAAGUAUGAACUUACACAAACAGUUUAUAUAACAAGUGGAGGUGUGCGCCUGCGUGCCAAACUUGCUGACUCGUGCAGGCCUGGAUACCCGCCUCAGACUAUUCCUUGACCGAAGCACUUCCAGGGCAGGAAACUGAAGCUCUUGGGAAGGUGGAAGUUGCACGUGGUCUCACAGUCAACUGUGCCAGAAUAGGAGGCCAGGAACCAUCUCUGCUGGAGGAAGACCCACCACGCAUCCCUUCAAGAAUGCCAAGGUCCAGAGCAAGUGCUUCCCUUCUAUGGGCACAGGAGGGCUGUGGGAGCCCACAGAAUGUGCUUCUGGCCAGAGUGGGAUCCCCGAGGAAGAUGUUAAGACCUCUAAUAAUAUUUAAGAGCAAAAUUAGCACAGCUCCAGCCCAUGGGCAAGUUAAGAGACAGGAGUAGUGUCUGUGGAGUGGAGGAAAGCAGAGGCUGCCGCUGACCAUCCUGCAGCCCUCGCUCUGGCUGCUCACAGCUCUCCACCUUCUCUGGACUUCGUCACUUCAGUAUGUGAAACAACCAUUUCAACCAGCUUGGACAAAAGAGAGAAGCCAAGAUGGGGCUGAGAAACCAAUGCAGGCAGGCCCAGGGACCCAGGAGUCAGGGACCAGGUGCUACCAGAUGCUUGCUCCGACUCGUGUUGCUGCUGUCUUCUCUGUGCCUCAACUCUGUCCUCUGUCACUGCAGGCAGCUUCCUCCCAAGGUGAUGGAGACCAUGCCAUUGCUAGUCUACCUUGAAAGACAGAUGUGAAGAAUGAAGUCAGGGGCUUUGCAGGAAGGUGAUAUAUCCCACCUCAUGAAAUCAGGCUUCACCACAAGAUUGCUUUGACCAAGGGGACGUGAGUAGAAGUUUGAAGAACCACAGACUGGUCCAUCACCUUGUUUCUUAUCCCUCUGACAUAAGCAAUGUCCCAGACUGGGGCUGUUCUGUUAGCCUGGCUUCCAGAAUGAAGAGAGCUGAUCUACAUGGCAUAUGUAAGAUAAAUAAACCUUUGUUAUUACAAACCACUGAAA